CCACUAUGCCUAACCUUAAACUUUGACAAUUUACACACUACUUCCGCCAGGGUACUACGAGCUACAGCUUAAAACCCAAAGGACUUGGCGGUGCCCCACACCACCUAGAGGAGCCUGUUCUAUAAUCGAUAACCCCCGCUAAACCUCACCACUUAUUGCCAAUACCGCCUAUAUACCACCGUCGCCAGCCCACCCUGUGAAGGACUUCAAGUAGGCACAAUGGUCACCACCAAAACGUCAGGUCAAGGUGUAGCACAUGAAGUGGGAAGAAAUGGGCUACAUUUUCUACCCUAGAACAAACGAACGAUCAUUAUGAAACAUGCUCAGAAGGUGGAUUUAGCAGUAAAAAGGAACAAAAGAGUCCUUUUAAAUCCGGCCCUGGGGCGCGUACACACCGCCCGUCACCCUCUUCAACCCUGCAAGAACUAUAAUUAAUUAAAACGCCACAAAAGAAGAGGCAAGUCGUAACAUGGUAAGUAUACUGGAAAGUAUACUUGGAAAAU
rnacentral:rRNA from 1 species